rnacentral:lncRNA from 1 species
AAAGAUAAACUGCAUUUAUGGAUAUGCAACAAAUUGUACUCUGAGAUAUGGAGUAGAACAAAACACUCUUAAAAUUAAGUUAAAAAUCAAAAUGAACUCUUAUUGAAGGUACAGAGUCUCAUAUAUAAAAUUCAAAAGUUUAGGAUGAAUUUUCAAAUUUGGGAUAGAAGUUCUUGAACUAAUUGUGCAUUUUCCCCUUUGUAAAUCUAUUAUCCGGCUAGGUACCAAUCAAUUAUUAAAAUAAACACAAUAUAGAUAGAGAAAUUUUUUGAUUCAUAACGUAUGAAUGUUUAAAACUGUAACUUUAAAUAUAUAGACCUUAAUUAUGAACAAUGGUUGUUUAACAGAUAAGUUGCGCUCUAAAUUAAUUUCGGAAGAAGACUUCCUUGUUAUAAUUAUUCCACAUAAAAUUUGCGACAACUAAUUAAAU